CCUGCAACAGUUGCCCCCCGACUUCUAUCGCCCCCAUGGAGGCAAACAAGUGUGGGACAGGGAAUGGGGGUCUGGGAGAGAAGAUGAAAAGACUGAGGAUCAGAGAGGUGAGCAGUAGUUUUCCCAAGGUCCCAGAGCCAAGAAACGUUGAAGCUUAAAAGCACGCCACGGCAGGGAAGAUCAAGCAAGCCCUGCACCUAUCUGCAGAUUCAACAUCAUCCAUGUCAGGAGCACACUUUUGGACAUGACCCCAUUCCAGCCCCCUAGAGCCAGCAGAAAAGGACCACCCACUUCCUGUGCGGCCAAGUCUGCAGUUCAGUCCUGGAGCCGGGGAAGGCUGUAUACGCUCCCUGAAAGAUGAAAUGACCUCACACCUCUCGCCUCCAAUGCUGGCUCCAU